CUUUGCUUUCCAUAUCAGAUCAGAAAACAAACUGAGCUAGGCUACAUGACUCAUUCAGGACACACAGUGAGGAAGUUAGGAGCCUGAUGUUGACUCCUGUGUUCGUUUGCUCAGGCUGCCAACACCGACUGGGGGCUUCAAUAAUGGAAGCUUAUUUUCACACAGUUCUGGAGGCUGGAGUUCCAAGAUCAAGGUUUUGGCAGCAAACUCCAAUGUCAUCUCCUCCAUGAAGCCCUGGCUGCCACUCACAGAGAAGCAGGCUGAGUCCUGCACCAGGAUGCCUGGCUGAGGAGCAGAGUGGCAUAAAAGCAUUUGCUCUUUGUUUGCAGGCCGCUGGGCCCAGGAGGCUGGGUCUGUUCAGAAUCUCUGCCCGGCCAGGCAGCAGGCGCUGACUCUCGCACUGUCCGGUUCGAAGAGCUGUUUUCUGCAGGUACUUGCAGUAGCAGCUGGCCUGGGACCCACCCCCGGGCAAAGUCCGCUCCGGAGUCUGUCACUUCCCGGCGCGGGCCACCCAGCCCCUGGCGCCCUGGCGCUCAGCGCUCCGCGGGCGCGCCCUCUGGCGGCAAGAGCCCUGAACAUUUCGCAAGCGGCGAAGGCUGGCGCGUGUUAUCCUGGGCACCCACCGGACCGAAUCGCUGGGCAGGGCUGCAAGGUGACUUGCUAACGCAAUCAGACCAGAAAGGAGCGCGCGUCUAACUAAGCGGGGGAGGGGAGAAGCAUGUUCAUAUUUUGUAAAAUGCAAGUGGCACCUCUCCCCAUUUUCCUCAAAAUUUUAUUCUGAAAAACUUUAGUACUUAAAAGUUCAAAUGCUUUUACAGUGGACACACAUUUAUCUAUCAGCUAGAUUCUGUUAUUCACAUUUUACUCUAUUGGUUUCAUUGCAUAUCUGUCCAUCUAUUCAUCCCUCUUUCCAUCCUUCAAACUAUCUUAUUUUUUCUUUUUCUUGUUC
rnacentral:lncRNA from 1 species